CCUGCAUGAAGUCGGAAUUGCUAGUAAUCGCAGAUCAGCAUGCUGCGGUGAAUACGUUCCCGGGCCCGUUGUACACACCGCCCGUCACACCAUGGGAGUCGGUAACACCCGAAGCCUGUAGUCUAACCGCAAGGAGGACGCAGUCGAAGGUGGGAUUGAUGACUGGGGUGAAGUCGUAACAAGGUAUC
rnacentral:rRNA from 1 species